rnacentral:rRNA from 1 species
UACGUAGGGUGCAAGCGUUGUCCGGAAUUAUUGGGCGUAAAGAGCGUGUAGGCGGCUUUGCAGGUCCGCUGUGAAAACUCGAGGCUCAACCUCGAGCUGUCGGUGGAAACCGUAAAGCUAGAGUCCGGAAGAGGAGAGUGGAAUUCCCGGUGUAGCGGUGAAAUGCGCAGAUAUCGGGAAGAACACCCGUGGCGAAGGCGGCUCUCUGGGACGGUACUGACGCUGAGACGCGAAAGCGUGGGGAGCGAACAGG